rnacentral:rRNA from 1 species
GACGAACGCUGGCGGCGUGCUUAACACAUGCAAGUCGAACGGAAAGGCCCUGCUUUUGUGGGGUGCUCGAGUGGCGAACGGGUGAGUAACACGUGAGUAACCUGCCCUUGACUUUGGGAUAACUUCAGGAAACUGGGGCUAAUACCGGAUAGGAGCUCCUGCUGCAUGGUGGGGGUUGGAAAGUUUCGGCGGUUGGGGAUGGACUCGCGGCUUAUCAGCUUGUUGGUUGGGUAGUGGCUUACCAAGGCUUUGACGGGUAGCCGGCCUGAGAGGGUGACCGGCCACAUUGGGACUGGGAUACGGCCCAGACUCCUACGGGAGGCAGCGGUGGGGAAUAGUGCACAAGGGGCGGAAGCCUGAUGCAGCAAAGCCGCGUGCGGGAUGACGGCCUUCGGGUUGUAAACCACUUUCGCCUGUGACGAAGCGUGAGUGACGGUAAUGGGUAAAGAAGCACCGGCUAACUACGUG